AUUGAACGCUGGCGGCAGGCUUAACACAUGCAAGUCGAACGAGUGGCGGACGGGUGAGUAAUGCUUGGGAAUCUAGCUUAUGGAGGGGGAUAACUACGGGAAACUGUAGCUAAUACCGCGUACAAUAGGAUGAGACCAAGUGGGAUUAGGUAGUUGGUGAGGUAAAGGAUCACCAAGCCGACGAGCUCUAGAUGGUCUGAGAGGAUGACCGGUGACACUGGGAAUGAGACACGGCACAGACUCCUACGGGAGGCAGCAGUGGGGAAUAUUGAGCAAUGGGGGCAACCUGACGCAGCCAUGCCGCGUGAGUUAGGAAGGCCUUCGGGUUGUAAAGUUCUUUCGGUAGCGAGGCGUUACCUACAGAAGAAGCACCGGCUAACUCCGUGCCAGCAGCCGCGGUAAUAC
rnacentral:rRNA from 1 species